rnacentral:rRNA from 1 species
AGUGAACGCUGGCGGUAGGCCUAACACAUGCAAGUCGAACGGCAGCACAGUAAGAGCUUGCUCUUACGGGUGGCGAGUGGCGGACGGGUGAGGAAUACAUCGGAAUCUACUUUUUCGUGGGGGAUAACGUAGGGAAACUUACGCUAAUACCGCAUACGACCUACGGGUGAAAGCAGGGGAUCUUCGGACCUUGCGCGAUUGAAUGAGCCGAUGUCGGAUUAGCUAGUUGGCGGGGUAAAGGCCCACCAAGGCGACGAUCCGUAGCUGGUCUGAGAGGAUGAUCAGCCACCCUGGAACAGAGACACGGCCCAGACUCCUCCGGGAGGCGGCAGUGGGAAAUAUUGGACAAUGGGCGCAGUCCUGAUCCAGCCAUCCCGGGUGGGUGAAGAAGGCCUUCGUGUUGAAAAGCCUUUUUGUGGGGAAAAAAAAGCAGCGGGUUAAUACCCCGCUGUUCUGACGGAACCAAAAAAAUAAGCACCGGCUACCUUCGUG